rnacentral:sRNA from 1 species
AUGCGUUAGGGAUUGUAGCAAUAUCCUUUUGCUUUUUGAGGUAAAAGAUAUAGCGAAAAGCCCAACCUAAU